GGUUAAGCGACUAAGCGUACACGGUGGAUGCCCUGGCAGUCAGAGGCGAUGAAGGACGUGCUAAUCUGCGAUAAGCGUCGGUAAGGUGAUAUGAACCGUUAUAACCGGCGAUUUCCGAAUGGGGAAACCCAGUGUGAUUCGUCACACUAUCAUUAACUGAAUCCAUAGGUUAAUGAGGCGAACCGGGGGAACUGAAACAUCUAAGUACCCCGAGGAAAAGAAAUCAACCGAGAUUCCCCCAGUAGCGGCGAGCGAACGGGGAGCAGCCCAGAGCCUGAAUCAGUGUGUGUGUUAGUGGAAGCGUCUGGAAAGGCGCGCGAUACAGGGUGACAGCCCCGUACACAAAAAUGCACAUGCUGUGAGCUCGAUGAGUAGGGCGGGACACGUGGUAUCCUGUCUGAAUAUGGGGGGACCAUCCUCCAAGGCUAAAUACUCCUGACUGACCGAUAGUGAACCAGUACCGUGAGGGAAAGGCGAAAAGAACCCCGGCGAGGGGAGUGAAAAAGAACCUGAAACCGUGUACGUACAAGCAGUGGGAGCACGCUUAGGCGUGUGACUGCGUACCUUUUGUAUAAUGGGUCAGCGACUUAUAUUCUGUAGCAAGGUUAACCGAAUAGGGGAGCCGAAGGGAAACCGAGUCUUAACUGGGCGUUAAGUUGCAGGGUAUAGACCCGAAACCCGGUGAUCUAGCCAUGGGCAGGUUGAAGGUUGGGUAACACUAACUGGAGGACCGAACCGACUAAUGUUGAAAAAUUAGCGGAUGACUUGUGGCUGGGGGUGAAAGGCCAAUCAAACCGGGAGAUAGCUGGUUCUCCCCGAAAGCUAUUUAGGUAGCGCCUCGUGAAUUCAUCUCCGGGGGUAGAGCACUGUUUCGGCAAGGGGGUCAUCCCGACUUACCAACCCGAUGCAAACUGCGAAUACCGGAGAAUGUUAUCACGGGAGACACACGGCGGGUGCUAACGUCCGUCGUGAAGAGGGAAACAACCCAGACCGCCAGCUAAGGUCCCAAAGUCAUGGUUAAGUGGGAAACGAUGUGGGAAGGCCCAGACAGCCAGGAUGUUGGCUUAGAAGCAGCCAUCAUUUAAAGAAAGCGUAAUAGCUCACUGGUCGAGUCGGCCUGCGCGGAAGAUGUAACGGGGCUAAACCAUGCACCGAAGCUGCGGCAGCGACGCUUAUGCGUUGUUGGGUAGGGGAGCGUUCUGUAAGCCUGUGAAGGUGUACUGUGAGGUAUGCUGGAGGUAUCAGAAGUGCGAAUGCUGACAUAAGUAACGAUAAAGCGGGUGAAAAGCCCGCUCGCCGGAAGACCAAGGGUUCCUGUCCAACGUUAAUCGGGGCAGGGUGAGUCGACCCCUAAGGCGAGGCCGAAAGGCGUAGUCGAUGGGAAACAGGUUAAUAUUCCUGUACUUGGUGUUACUGCGAAGGGGGGACGGAGAAGGCUAUGUUGGCCGGGCGACGGUUGUCCCGGUUUAAGCGUGUAGGCUGGUUUUCCAGGCAAAUCCGGAAAAUCAAGGCUGAGGCGUGAUGACGAGGCACUACGGUGCUGAAGCAACAAAUGCCCUGCUUCCAGGAAAAGCCUCUAAGCAUCAGGUAACAUCAAAUCGUACCCCAAACCGACACAGGUGGUCAGGUAGAGAAUACCAAGGCGCUUGAGAGAACUCGGGUGAAGGAACUAGGCAAAAUGGUGCCGUAACUUCGGGAGAAGGCACGCUGAUAUGUAGGUGAAGUCCCUCGCGGAUGGAGCUGAAAUCAGUCGAAGAUACCAGCUGGCUGCAACUGUUUAUUAAAAACACAGCACUGUGCAAACACGAAAGUGGACGUAUACGGUGUGACGCCUGCCCGGUGCCGGAAGGUUAAUUGAUGGGGUUAGCGCAAGCGAAGCUCUUGAUCGAAGCCCCGGUAAACGGCGGCCGUAACUAUAACGGUCCUAAGGUAGCGAAAUUCCUUGUCGGGUAAGUUCCGACCUGCACGAAUGGCGUAAUGAUGGCCAGGCUGUCUCCACCCGAGACUCAGUGAAAUUGAACUCGCUGUGAAGAUGCAGUGUACCCGCGGCAAGACGGAAAGACCCCGUGAACCUUUACUAUAGCUUGACACUGAACAUUGAGCCUUGAUGUGUAGGAUAGGUGGGAGGCUUUGAAGUGUGGACGCCAGUCUGCAUGGAGCCGACCUUGAAAUACCACCCUUUAAUGUUUGAUGUUCUAACGUGGACCCGUAAUCCGGGUUGCGGACAGUGUCUGGUGGGUAGUUUGACUGGGGCGGUCUCCUCCUAAAGAGUAACGGAGGAGCACGAAGGUUGGCUAAUCCUGGUCGGACAUCAGGAGGUUAGUGCAAUGGCAUAAGCCAGCUUGACUGCGAGCGUGACGGCGCGAGCAGGUGCGAAAGCAGGUCAUAGUGAUCCGGUGGUUCUGAAUGGAAGGGCCAUCGCUCAACGGAUAAAAGGUACUCCGGGGAUAACAGGCUGAUACCGCCCAAGAGUUCAUAUCGACGGCGGUGUUUGGCACCUCGAUGUCGGCUCAUCACAUCCUGGGGCUGAAGUAGGUCCCAAGGGUAUGGCUGUUCGCCAUUUAAAGUGGUACGCGAGCUGGGUUUAGAACGUCGUGAGACAGUUCGGUCCCUA
rnacentral:rRNA from 1 species